GUCUGCCUAACUGCAAAACGAUUUGGUUGGCUUAUAAAUUGCUGCCUGUAUCAUGUGCUUCUGAAUUAAAAGGAACGGAUGGUUUUUAAAGGUUUAUCUGUUUCAUUAUUAAUGCAGAAUGACUUCCUGCUGACAAAUUUCUAUUUUCACACAAUUUCUUUGCUGAUGCAGUAUCUCUGCCACCCAUGCUCUAGGGCAGCGUGGAGCCACUUCAGAGCACGCCUUUUGUGACCCAGCGCCCAGCAGGGUGUUCUUUUCUGAGUGCAAAGAGAGAAUCCACUGACCUCAUUUGCUUCCAUCCUGUGAACCUCUCAGUGGGUUUCAGAACACCAGGGUCUGAGCAGAGAAGCUUCAGAAUACUUUCUCCGACUAGAGAACUUUUUUAUGGUGGGAGGAAAAAGUGUUGCCAGUCCCACUUCACAGACACCUGGAAUUCAUGAAGUCUGAGGACUUCUUUCAUUUUACUUUCAACUAAAAGCUCUAGCAUGAAACAGCAAAGGCUCACAGAGCUAAAGAUCAGGAGGUGGCCCUUUGAGAGGGUAUUCCGCCUGGAUCCCUGGUGAAACUCCAUCAUUGAGCAGCAUAUCUGCUUCAGAAAGCGUGGAAAGAAAAGAGCCUGGUGGGAAAAGUCUAUCAAGUGAUAAUGACGUGCCCUUAU
rnacentral:sRNA from 1 species